rnacentral:lncRNA from 1 species
ACCCUUCUAUAUUGUAGGCAGCAAAAUUACCUCUAUCUGGACAGCUCCUGGCCAGAUGCCCUUUUUUGUCGCAUAUUUGGCAUGCCACAGCCAAAUCUUGGGAUGAGGGUAUUUUUAAAAUAGGAGGAAGACUAUUUUUAUUUAAAGGAGGAGGAAUAGUUACAACCUGAGGUCCUUGCUUAGGUCUUGAAUAGUUCGAAUUAUAAUAUCCACCAGAUCUGCCUCCUCGGGGAAACCUAGUAUUUUGAUAAUAUUUUUUAUGAAAAUUAGAG